rnacentral:lncRNA from 10 species
CUUCCUCCGGCCGUUUAAGAAGAGCCUGCCACCUCUUUGUCUUCCGCCAUGAUUAUAAGUUUCCUGAGGCCUCCUCAGCCACGAUUCCUGUGCAGCCUGCAGAGCCUUUCAUAUAUAUAUAUUUUGAGACAGGGUCUCACUCUGUCACCCAGGCUGGAGUGCAGGGUUGUGAUCAUAGCUCACUGCAGCCUCAACCUCCUGGCCUCAAGCGAUCCUCCAGCCUUAGCCUCCGAAAGCAAUGGAAUUACAGGUGUGAGCCACCAUGCCCAGCUCUGGAACUCUUAAAAACUGAUGAGAAAAGGCAAGUUAAAAGGUCAGAGGUAUACAUUGAGAUGGCCUGAAGCAACUGAAGAACCACAAAAGAAGUGAAAAUAGCCAAUUCCUGCCUUUACUGAUGACAUUCCACCAUCAUGAUUUGUUCCUGCCCCACCCUAAUUAACCAGUUGACCUUGUGACAUUCCUUCUCCUGGACAGUGAAUCUCAGGAGCUCCCCACUGAGCACCUUAUGACCUGCCCCUGCCUGCAAGAGAAAAAACCCCUUUAACUGUCAUUUUCCACUACCUACCCAAAUCCUAUAAAACUGCCCCACCCCUCUCUCCCUUUGCUGACUCCCUUUUCGGACUUGGUCUGCCUCCACCCAG